rnacentral:rRNA from 1 species
UACGAAGGGGGCUAGCGUUGUUCGGAAUCACUGGGCGUAAAGCGCACGUAGGCGGAUCUUUAAGUCAGGGGUGAAAUCCUGGAGCUCAACUCCAGAACUGCCUUUGAUACUGAAGAUCUUGAGUUCGGGAGAGGUGAGUGGAACUGCGAGUGUAGAGGUGAAAUUCGUAGAUAUUCGCAAGAACACCAGUGGCGAAGGCGCUCACUGGCCCGAUACUGACGCUGAGGCACGAAAGCGUGGGGAGCAAACAGGG